rnacentral:rRNA from 2 species
CAUCCUCCAAGGCUAAAUACUCCUGACUGACCGAUAGUGAACCAGUACCGUGAGGGAAAGGCGAAAAGAACCCCGGCGAGGGGAGUGAAAAAGAACCUGAAACCGUGUACGUACAAGCAGUGGGAGCACAGGUUUACCUGUGUGACUGCGUACCUUUUGUAUAAUGGGUCAGCGACUUAUAUUCUGUAGCAAGGUUAACCGAAUAGGGGAGCCGGAGGGAAACCGAGUCUUAACCGGGCGUUAAGUUGCAGGGUAUAGACCCGAAACCCGGUGAUCUAGCCAUGGGCAGGUUGAAGGUUGGGUAACACUAACUGGAGGACCGAACCGACUAAUGUUGAAAAAUUAGCGGAUGACCUGUGGCUGGGGGUGAAAGGCCAAUCAAACCGGGAGAUAGCUGGUUCUCCCCGAAAGCUAUUUAGGUAGCGCCUCGUGAAUUCAUCUCCGGGGGUAGAGCACUGUUUCGGCUAGGGGGCCAUCCCGGCUUACCAACCCGAUGCAAACUGCGAAUACCGGAGAAUGUUAUCACGGGAGACACACGGCGGGUGCUAACGUCCGUCGUGAAGAGGGAAACAACCCAGACCGCCAGCUAAGGUCCCAAAGUCAUGGUUAAGUGGGAAACGAUGUGGGAAGGCCCAGACAGCCAGGAUGUUGGCUUAGAAGCAGCCAUCAUUUAAAGAAAGCGUAAUAGCUCACUGGUCGAGUCGGCCUGCGCGGAAGAUGUAACGGGGCUAAACCAUGCACCGAAGCUGCGGCAGCGA